rnacentral:rRNA from 1 species
AUUGAACGCUGGCGGAAUGCUUUACACAUGCAAGUCGAGCGGCAGCACGGGGGCAACCCUGGUGGCGAGCGGCGAACGGGUGAGUAAUACAUCGGAACAUGCCCAGUCGUGGGGGAUAACACUUCGAAAGAAGUGCUAAUACCGCAUACGUCCGGAGGGAGAAAGCGGGGGAUCUUCGGACCUCGCGCGAUUGGAGUGGCCGAUGUCAGAUUAGCUAGUUGGUGGGGUAAAGGCCUACCAAGGCAACGAUCUGUAGCUGGUCUGAGAGGAUGAUCAGCCACACUGGGACUGAGACACGGCCCAGACUCCUACGGGAGGCAGCAGUGGGGAAUUUUGGACAAUGGGGGCAACCCUGAUCCAGCCAUUCCGCGUGAGUGAAGAAGGCCUUCGGGUUGUAAAGCUCUUUCGGCAGGAACGAAACGGCGAGCUCUAACAUAGCUUGCUAAUGACGGUACCUGAAGAAGAAGCACCGGCUAACUACGUGCCAGCAGCCGCGGUAAAAC